rnacentral:rRNA from 1 species
ACGAAGGGUGCAAGCGUUACUCGGAAUUACUGGGCGUAAAGCGUGCGUAGGUGGUGGUUUAAGUCUGCUGUGAAAGCCCUGGGCUCAACCUGGGAAUUGCAGUGGAUACUGGCAAGCUAGAGUACGGUAGAGGAUGGUGGAAUUCCCGGUGUAGCGGUGAAAUGCGUAGAGAUCGGGAGGAACACCCGUGGCGAAGGCGGCCAUCUGGACCAGUACUGACGCUGAGGCACGAAAGCGUGGGGAGCAAACAGGA